AGUGAUAAAAUAGUCCCUGUCCAAUGGAGUGAAUAUAAAUGUCUCCAGGAACAGCACUGAAGAAUAUUCCCCUUUCUGCGCCUUACAGUCUAAUUUCUC